GAUGAACGCUGGCGGCGUGCCUAAUACAUGCAAGUCGAGCGAACGGACGAGAAGCUUGCUUCUCUGAUGUUAGCGGCGGACGGUGAGUAACACGUGGAUAACCUACCUAUAAGACUGGGAUAACUUCGGGAAACCGGAGCUAAUACCGGAUAAUAUUUUGAACCGCAUGGUUCAAAAGUGAAAGACGGUCUUGCUGUCACUUAUAGAUGGAUCCGCGCUGCAUUAGCUAGUUGGUAAGGUAACGGCUUACCAAGGCAACGAUGCAUAGCCGACCUGAGAGGGUGAGCGGCCCACAUGGAACUGAGACACGGCCCAGACCCCAAGGGGGGGCAGCAGUAGGGAAUUUUCCGCAAUGGGCGAAACCCUGACGGGGCAACGCCGGGUGGGGGAUGAAGGUUUUCGGAUGGUAAAACUCUUUUAUUGGGGAAAAAAAUAUGUGAAAGUAACUGUGCACCUCUUGACGGUACCAAAUCAAAAAGCCACGGCUAACUACGU
rnacentral:rRNA from 1 species